AGUUUAUUAGUAAAUGUGUAUGCAGUAAUCCUGUUAUUCAUUUAUUAAUUUCAUUGCCAGAGGACGGGACCAGAUGUGUUUGGAGUUGAAGACAAUGCUGAAGACCAAAGAAGCAACGGAAGAAGCACAUUAAAGCACUGAGGGUGUCCAGCCUGUUUGCCAUGUCAGAUCCAGCGGCUAGAUGGCGGGAGAUGCUUCAAUACCCGAUUGCAUUUAAUCAUUAGAUGAUUGAUUAAUUAAUUUUAAUAUAUAUUUUUAAAUUAUCUUAUUAUAUUAAAUAAUUGGUCUGUUUACUAUUUCAUAUAUUAGCUUGAAUAAGAAUGUUCUUAUAAUGUGUACGCCAUGCCCGAAGAGGAUGGGUUCCCCCUGAUGAGUCUGGUUCCUCUCAAGGUUUUUUAUCUCCUUAAGAGUUUUUUCCUUGCCACCGUCGCCACUGGCUUGCUCACUGGGGGUGUUGUGUCAAAUCCUGUGUCCCUCUUGCGUCCCUGCCGACCAGGGUUUCCAAAACAACAGUUUGCGACUCAAUAAUUUUUUUUUUAUUAAAU